UUUGGGGGCGACCCGCGGGAUGGGUUGAGUACCACGUAAGCAACCUUCCUUUAACCACGGGCAUACCCCGGAGAAAUUCCGGAAUUAUUCCCCGAUAAUACAGGGGCUUCCCCAUGGAGAUAUUUGUUAAAGAUUUAUUGGUUAAGGAUGGGCAUGCGCUCCAUUAGUUAGUUGGUGAGGUAAUGGCUCACCAAGGCAUCGAUGGAUAGGGGAACUGAGAGGUUUAUCCCCCACACUGGGACUGAGACACGGCCCAGACUCCUACGGGAGGCAGCAGUGAGGAAUAUUGGUCAAUGAGGGCAACCUUGAACCAGCCAAGUCGCGUGAAGGAUGACUGUCCUAAGGAUUGUAAACUUCUUUUAUAUGGGAAUAAUUGUAGCCACGUGUGGUUAUUUGCAUGUACCAUAUGAAUAAGCAUCGGCUAACUCCGUGCCAGCAGCCGCGGUAAUACGGAGGAUGCAAGCGUUAUUCGGAUUUAUUGGGUUUAAAGGGUGCGUAGGUGGGUAUGUAAGUCAGCGGUGAAAGUUUGUCGCUCAACGAUAAAAUUGCCGUUGAAACUAUAUACCUUGAGUUUGUUUGAUGUAUGCGGAAUGUGUGGUGUAGCGGUGAAAUGCUUAGAUAUCACGCAGAACUCCGAUUGCGAAGGCAGCAUACAAAGCCAUGACUGACACUGAAGCACGAAAGCGUGGGUAUCAAACAGGAUUAGAUACCCUGGUAGUCCACGCAGUAAACGAUGAUUACUAGGAAUAUGCGAUAUACUGUAAGUUCUACAGCGAAAG
rnacentral:rRNA from 1 species